rnacentral:RNase_MRP_RNA from 2 species
GAGCCGAACGAAGGGUCGCUUAAUCGCAGCUUCACUCGCAGGGAUGUGAAGGGCUAGUCCCUUGCAUCCCUUUUUCGGCUGUGGGAAAAGGUAAGCUCCCACUACUCGCUACUCUCCUACACUUUCAAUCCGCUAACCUCUCGCCGUUCAAACAGUCCCCGGACGCUUCUUUCGCCCUUCCUUUCGCCCGUUCGCAACCCUUUCCUCUUCCUCACUCCUACUCGCCAAACAGCUUUUCGUCCUCCCGCAUCCUCCCCUUCGCCCUCGUCCUCAAUUCCCUCGCAUUCACCGGAAAGCGGUCGUCCUUAAUCCGACGGAGGAAAAAAUGCCUAGAGGGGGAUGUUAGGCAGGCAGGGGCAUGGUCAAAGGGAUGCAUUCCUAGUUGGGGAUAUUGCUGGGGAGCUAUAGGAGGGAUUGGGCGAGGGCGGGACUCGUGAGCUGCUAGUGUGCUGGUCCCUUUCGGCGUCGUCGUUCUGCGACCUCGUUGAACGGUGGAUCGGCUCUCGCUCGAGUCCAGGGAGGCAGUCGAUCCGUGUGCUCGUGUCGCCAGGUGUUCAUCGUGAGUCUUUGUAUGACCGUUCCCUCGAUUGACCCCUUUGCUCCCCUUUACGGGGGAUCGCUUCGCUCGUCGUUUCGGCGGCGGGUGAGCACCGGCUACUUCCUCGCUCAUGCCACCGCGUUGAGGGCCGGCAGCGAAGAUAUGAGCUGCUGGAACCCCCCUCGACGUUGGUUGGAAGGGCUUGGAGGGCGCUGGGCGAGGGUCGGUCGGUCUUGGGAGGGUCUACUCACACCGAACCCGUCAGUGCGGUGCUUUUGAGCUCGUCGACAAACAGUUCGUCAUAUCGCAUAGUCAUGCGACCGCUCCCUUACUUCGUGUAGGGGUGUAACGGAAUGGGGCUUACUCUCGCUCGGCU